rnacentral:rRNA from 1 species
UACGGAGGGUGCAAGCGUUAUCCGGAUUUACUGGGUUUAAAGGGUGCGUAGGUGGGUAGGAAAGUCAGUGGUGAAAUCUUCGGGCUUAACCCGGAAACUGCCAUUGAUACUAUUUAUCUUGAAUACUUUGGAGGUAAGCGGAAUAUGUCAUGUAGCGGUGAAAUGCUUAGAUAUGACAUAGAACACCAAUUGCGAAGGCAGCUUACUACCCGAAUAUUGACACUGAGGCACGAAAGCGUGGGGAUCAAACAGG